rnacentral:SRP_RNA from 2 species
UCUGGGCAUGGUGGCUCAUGCCUGUACUCCCAGCUACUCGGGAGGAUGAGGCAGGAGGAUCACCUGAGCCCGGGGUUUUGUGGCUGCAGUGAGCCAAGAUUAGGCCACUGCACUCCAACCUGGGCAACAGAGUGAGACCUUGUCUCUA